GAAGGCUGGCGGACGUAGCUCUCGCCAACCCGGUCAGGUCCGGAAGGAAGCAGCCGUAACGAGUUUUUUGCUGCGGGUCGUUUCAGUCUUCCAC
rnacentral:SRP_RNA from 1 species